AGCGAACGCUGGCGGCAGGCCUAACACAUGCAAGUCGAACGAACCCUUCGGGGUUAGUGGCGGACGGGUGAGUAACACGUGGGAACGUGCCUUUAGGUUCGGAAUAACUCAGGGAAACUUGUGCUAAUACCGAAUGUGCCCUUCGGUGGAAAGAUUUAUCGCCUUUAGGGCGGCCCGCGUCUGAUUAGCUAGUUGGUGUGGUAAUGGCUCACCAAGGCUACGAUCAGUAGCUGGUCUGAGAGGAUGACCAGCCACAUUGGGACUGAGACACGGCCCAAACUCCUACGGGAGGCAGCAGUGGGAAUCUUGCGCAAUGGGCGAAAGCCUGACGCAGCCAUGCCGCGUGGAUGAUGAAGGUCUUAGGAUUGUAAAAUCCUUUCACCGGUGAAGAUAAUGACUGUAGCCGGAGAAGAAGCCCCGGCUAACUUCGUGCCAGCCGCCGCAGUAAUAC
rnacentral:rRNA from 1 species